UAAUAUUUCAUUGAUGUACAUAGUUAGUUUUACCAAUUAAACUUCAUAUGGCAGCCCACACGAAUUGUGCAAUGAAUUAUCUCUAGUCAGUUUUUAAUAAAUUGGUCUAACAAAUAGUUCAAAAACAUUAACUUUUAAUGUUUAAAUCUCCCACAACACCAAUGUCCUAUAUUAUGUUAGCUAGGAAACUAGGCCAUAGAAAAUAAGUAAGAGGGGUGGCAAAAGAUGGUGCCAGCAGUCGCGGUUAUACCAAUACCCCAAGCUAAUUUUAUCAAACCGGAGUAGUCUUUCUACUUUCUAGACCACAAAAUUAACUUUUAGCGUAAUAAACAAAUUAUAACUAAACCCUACCCGGUCAUAAUCAGACUACUCCAACAAACCAUGACCUCAGAACUCGGAUUAGAUACCCGACUACUGUAUGGCUCAACACAUAAAAGAAUACUACGAGCGAAAGCUUAAACCUCAAACAAUGUGGCGGUGCUUUACUCCUCAUCAGGGGAUCCUGUGGCUUAAUUCGAUAAUCCACGAAAAUCUUAGCUAUUCUUGUUCUACAGCUUGUGUAUGGCCGUUUAUGCUUGCUCACAGAAGAAACAAAAGGAAGCAAUAGGGCUAUUUACCCCAUAAUUCAGGUGACAUACAGCCUAUGAAUAGCAGAUCCAUGGGAUACAAAUAAACAUACUACCAAAUUUAAAGCUCCAAACUUUAAUGAAGGAGGACUUGAAAGUAAGAUUUUAAUUCAUCAAACAAAUCUGAACAAGAACUAAAGCGCGCACAAAUCGCCCGUCACUCCGACAAUAAAGUGGGAUAAGUCGUAACACAGUAGGGGUAAUGGAAAUUGCCCCUAUAAAAAU
rnacentral:ncRNA from 1 species